AUGGGCACCAGGCUCCUCUGCUGGGCAGCCCUGUGCCUCCUGGGGGCAGAUCACACAGGUGCUGGAGUCUCCCAGACCCCCAGUAACAAGGUCACAGAGAAGGGAAAAGAUGUAGAGCUCAGGUGUGAUCCAAUUUCAGGUCAUACUGCCCUUUACUGGUACCGACAAAGCCUGGGGCAGGGCCCAGAGUUUCUAAUUUACUUCCAAGGCACGGGUGCGGCAGAUGACUCAGGGCUGCCCAAAGAUCGGUUCUUUGCAGUCAGGCCUGAGGGAUCCGUCUCUACUCUGAAGAUCCAGCGCACAGAGCAGGGGGACUCAGCCGCGUAUCUCCGUGCCAGCAGCUUAAC